CCUUGACAUACUAAGAACUUUCCAGAGAUGGAUUGGUGCCUUCGGGAACUUAGAUACAGGUGCUGCAUGGCUGUCGUCAGCUCGUGUCGUGAGAUGUUGGGUUAAGUCCCGCAACGAGCGCAACCCUUUUCCUUAUUUGCCAGCGGGUCAUGCCGGGAACUUUAAGGAUACUGCCAGUGACAAACUGGAGGAAGGCGGGGACGACGUCAAGUCAUCAUGGCCCUUACGGCCAGGGCUACACACGUGCUACAAUGGUCGGUACAAAGGGUUGCUACCUCGCGAGAGGAUGCUAAUCUCAAAAAGCCGAUCGUAGUCCGGAUCGCAGUCUGCAACUCGACUGCGUGAAGUCGGAAUCGCUAGUAAUCGCGGAUCAGAAUGCCGCGGUGAAUACGUUCCCGGGCCUUGUACACACCGCCCGUCACACCAUGGGAGUUUGUUGCACCAGAAGUAGGUAGUCUAACCGCAAGGAGGACGCUUACCACGGUGUGGCCGAUGACUGGGGUGAAGUCGUAACAAGGUAGGCGUAGAUGA
rnacentral:rRNA from 1 species